rnacentral:rRNA from 1 species
GACGAACGCUGGCGGCGUGCUUAACACAUGCAAGUCGAACGGUAAGGCCCUUCGGGGUACACGAGUGGCGAACGGGUGAGUAACGCGUGAGUAACCUGCCCUUCACUCUGGGAUAACAGUUGGAAACGGCUGCUAAUACCGGAUAUUCAGCUCCUGUCGCAUGGUGGGGGUUGGAAAGUUUUGGUGGUGGAGGAUGGGCUCGCGUCCUAUCAGCUUGUUGGUGGGGUGAUGGCCUACCAAGGCGUCGACGGGUAGCCGGCCUGAGAGGGCGACCGGCCACAUUGGGACUGAGAUACGGCCCAAACUCCUACGGGAGGCAGCAGUGGGGAAUAUUGCACAAUGGGCGGAAGCCUGAUGCAGCAACGCCGCGUGCGGGAUGACGGCCUUCGGUUGUAACCGCUUUCAGCAGGGACGAAGCGCAAGUGACGGUACCUGCAGAAGAAGCACCGGCUAACUACGUG